rnacentral:lncRNA from 1 species
CUGGAAGGCACUGUCCCGCUCCCCCGGAGCCCGGCCAGGGGGCAUCUGGAAGGCCCAGCGCACACCAAAGGGUCCGGCCGGGCACAGCUUGAGCGGCACUGGGCUGGCAGGCAGUGGCCGCAGCUGCGGACACUCAGGACCGGGCGCUGGGCGUGGGGGCGGGGGUGCGUGCGUGGGCCCGGCCCCUGCGCGCAGCAAGUUCUCGAUCAGGAAACUCUUGCCCAGACUGCCAAAGCCGGGCGCAGGAAGGCCGAAGAGUGCUGAGGACGCCACCACAUCCCAGUAGGCUCCGGCCUGGGCGGCCACAGCGCUGGGCAGCAUGGUGCGCGCCCGCUGCCCGGGGAGCCGUGGAGAGCGAGUGCGAAGGGACAGGGACAGGGCGCGGACAGGAUCGGGGCUGAGGGGAAAAUACAGUGACGAAUCAUGGUGCCCAGAAG